UCCGCGUGCGCUCCGGGGAAAGCGUGGUGGUACAGGUGCCGGUGAUUGGCCGCUACAUUGUACAGCUUGUGCAGAGCCUGGGGACGUUUCUUCAUACUUUCAUAGGAGUGAGAAAACCUGCAUCCACCAAGCCGAAGAGCAGAGAUGCCAUCUUGUGGCUUUCACACUCUCGCUACCAGCAGACAGUGUGAAAGCCAGCAUCAGCUGUGGCAUGGGGGGGCGCACAAGGCAAGACAUGUUUAUGGAGCAACAAGAAAGGACUUGAUUACCUACACUAAUUUAGAAAAAUAAAAGCAGA